GCGCUGGUGGCUCAGUGGUAGAGCUCCCGCCUGCCACGCCGGCGGCUCGGGUUCGUACCCCGGCCAAUGCC
rnacentral:tRNA from 1 species